rnacentral:lncRNA from 1 species
AACCCGGAAAUGGUUCCAAUCAUUUUUCCACCAUACAUCUUUCCCGUAAGGGAUUUUAGAGCUGCUUCAUAUAAGGUCUGUGUUUUGUGUAGGCUUAGCCUGGCGUGACAUUUUGAUAACUACGCAAAUCUCUCUCGGACAAUAUAACUUUUGUUAAUAUAUUCGCCUGUAAUUACCCCCCAAAAUGAAAUGCUAAUUAGCUGCUAAUGUGGCUAUCAAACAGAACUACACAUCCUGUCGCAAGCUUUGACGUAAUCACUCAAAGCCCAGAGUGGGAAAAACCUCCACAUUUCUCAAUGCACAGUAGCAAGUAACCUAGCGAGUAGAUAUUACAGGCUUUUCAGUUUCUCGUGUAAAUAAUUGAUAUUGUGUAUUUCUCGUGUGUAUUCUUAGUUAGCAUUUUUCAAAUGACCUAGCUAGCUACCAUAGCAUUUUAAAAUUACCCUCGCCUUUGUAGCUAACUAGCUAACCUUAGGUCUCUCCGUAAAUCAAAAGCAAGGAUGGUUUUGUGCUAUGUACCAGAUUGGAACCACUACUCUGUAAGUGAGAGGCGUCGCUGGAGCUGUGUGAUAAGUGACAACACUCGGGUCUACAGCAGCCAAUCCCCGGUAGGAAAGAGAAACGGCCCUGUAUUUACCAGAAAAGGAAUCUCCUCCACCAUGGCAGAAGAGGAAGAUCCAGACUGUUGACGUGGAUUGGGUGUGGAAGGUCCACUUGUCAAUGAAUUUGCGUAAUGUUUGUCAUGUUUGUGUAUGGUUCUCAUGACUUUAAGAUUGGGUGUUAAUGAAAUGCAUGUUGUAAGAAAUGUGCUAUGUAAAUAAAGUUUGAUUUAGUUGAUGACAUUACAGUUGUAGAAUAUUUAAUAAACUGACAUUUUCACAUGAGGACAAUGCAGUUUUUCCAUAAACGUUUAAUUGAUAUCUUGGGAUUUUAUCACUUGACAUAUCAAUCAUAUAGUGGGAAGGAUCCUAUAAAUCAAGACUGGGUGAAUGCAUGUACCACUUCGAAUAAAUAAAUACUGUGCCAUUUAAGAUUUGUCUCUGGUCAUGAAAGUACAAUACUGUAUAGCGUGUCAUUGUGUCACACCCUGACCAGUAUAAGGGGUUAUUGGUUAUAGUAGUUUGGUCAGGAUGUGGCAGGGGUUAUUUGUUUUAUGUGGUUCGGGGUUUAUGGAAUAUGUAUUUAUGUAAGAGGGGUGUUUGAUUUAUGUGUUCCGGGGUUUUUGGGUAAUGUUCUUGUUUUGUAUUUCUAUGGUUUUCUAUGUUGUGUAUUUCAUUGUGUUGGCGUUGUAUGGCUCUCAAUCAGGAACAGCUGUACAUCGUUGUUGCUGAUUGAGAGUCA